rnacentral:rRNA from 1 species
GUCGCUUUGUUCGGGGCUUCGACAUAAGGGGCAGUGGCGGUUUGGUGAGUAUUUCGUAGGUACUCAUCAUUGGGUGGGGGACAACCGCGGGAAACUGCGGCUAAUACCGCAUGUUUAGCCUGGUUGUGAGAUUGGACAUAAGAAAGGCCUCCGGGUCGCCUGAUGAGAAGCCUGCGUCCGAUUAGCUAGUUGGUGGGGUAAUUUUCCGUACCAAGGCGUUUAUCGGUAGCUGGUCUGAGAGGAUGAUCAGCCACACUGGGACUGAGAUUGAGAUGCCCAGACUCCUUUUGGAGGCAGCAGUGGGGAAUAUUGGACAUGGGCGGAAGCCUGAUCCAGCAAUGCCGCGUGGGUGAAGAAGGUCUUCGGAUUGUAAAGCCCCUCCGGCGGGGUUUAUGAUGUUUGUACCCGCAGAAGAAGCCCCGGCUAAUUGAGACGUGCCAGCAGCCGCGGUAAUUUUAAGGGGGCUAGCGUUGCUCGGAAUGACUGGGCGUAAAGGGCGCGUAGGCGGCUCGCACAGUUGGGCGUGAAAUUCCUGGGCUUAACCUGGGGGCUGCGUUCAAUUUUUGUGGACUAGAGCUCGGAAGAGGGUCGUGGAAUUCCCAGUGUAGAGGUGAAAUUCGUAGAUAUUGGGAAGAACACCGGUGGCGAAGGCGGCGACCUGGUCCUGGACUGUUUCUGAGGCGCGAAAGCGUGGGGAGCAAACAGGAUUAGAUACCCUGGUAGUCCUUUCUGUAAU